GUCUCCCGAAAUCCAAGUGGUUUGCGCAUUGCGAAGCUGGGCUCGACAUGAGAUCCAAGAUGAUACAGCCGAUUUGCAUGGAGUCUCACAGCCCUUUAUAAGUAAAAUAUGCAAAAAAUUAGCAGGAGCCAUAGCCGGAAUAUCGCAUAGAUUUAUAAAAAUGCCUGCUUCAUUGGCAGAACAAGAGGAAGCAAUGCGAAAAUUCCAUAGAAUUGCAAAUUUUCCUUCAGUAAUUGGUGCAAUUGACUGUACUCACAUAAGGGUAAAAAAAAUAUGUGAAGAUGGUGGUCAAAUAUAUAUCAAUCGCAAAGGAUUUCCAUCUAUUAAUGUCCAGGUAGUCUGCGAUGCAAAUUUAAAAAUAAUAGAUAUUGUUGCUAGGUGGCACGGCAGUGUCCAUGACUCUCGAAUUUUUAGAGAAAGUCGACUAAAGCAGAGAUUUGAGGCUGGUGCCUUCUCAGGCAUUUUGCUUGGAGACAGUGGGUAUGCAUGUACACCGUAUUUGUUUACUCCCUUACUGAAUACCUCAACACCCCAAGAAGAACGGUACAAUAGUGCUCACAUUAACACCAGAAAUGCAGUGGAGAGAUGUUUUGGGUUGUGGAAGCAGAGGUUCCGUUGUUUAUUAAGAGGCCUUUACUGUGACAUUGGAACUGCAAGAAAAACUAUUGUAGCAUGUGCUGUAUUGCACAAUAUCGCAAUUGAUAUGAAGGAAGAUGUGUUUUCUAGUGGGCUCGAAGACGAAGUUAACAGGCAAUCUCACGCAGUUGUUUUGGCCACAGAAAACAAUGUUCGCGGAAAUAUUAGAAGAAGGCAAUUUAUUGAAAGACACUUUUAAUUAAAAUAAUAUAUUUUUGUAAUAAGCUUGAAAUUAUAUUUUUAUACCUGAAAAGAAAAUGAUAUUAGACAUAACUAAUAUGUGUAUUACUGUGACACUUAUAUAAUCAUAGCAUUGAAAACUUAUAUAAUAGUGGUAUAUUAUUAUUCAUAUGUUACAUUUACCAUUUAAUAUUACUCUGUACUAGAUUUCUUCGUAUUUUCUAAUAAUUCUAUUUCUAGCUCUAGUUUUUUU